rnacentral:rRNA from 1 species
CCUACGGGUGGCAGCAGUGGGGAAUAUUGGGCAAUGGGCGCAAGCCUGACCCAGCAACGCCGCGUGAAGGAAGAAGGCUUUCGGGUUGUAAACUUCUUUUCUCAGGGACGAAGCAAGUGACGGUACCUGAGGAAUAAGACACGGCUAACUACGUGCCAGCAGCCGCGGUCAUACGUAGGUGGCAAGCGUUAUGCGGAUUUACUGGGUGUAAAGGGCGUGUAGGCGGGACUGCAAGUCAGAUGUGAAAACCACGGGCUCAACCUGAAGCCUGCAUUUGAAACUGUAAUUCUUGAGUACUGGAGAGGCAGACGGAAGUCCUGGUGUAGCGGUGAAAUGCGUAGAUAUUACGAAGAACACCAGUGGCGAAGGCAGUCUGCUGGACAGCAACUGACGCUGAGGCGCGAAAGCGUGGGGAUCAAACAGGAUUAGAUACCCUAGUAGUC